GAUUGUGGUGUGUAUCUUAGCAGAAAUUCUGAUAUGCAAAUUAAUGUAUUUAGAUACACAAUCUUACAAAAAUGGGAUAAUACACAUCUUGCUUUGAAGCUUUAUUGUCUUAUCUAAUAUGUACUAAGUGUCUUUCCAUGGUAAAUUUAUAUCUAGAUCCAAUUUUUCAGUGUUGGGAUCACAGUAUGGCUCCAUAGUGUACUAAUGCAUGGUUAUGCCAAAAAAUGUUGUUUUCCCAGUUUCUUUUCUUUUCUCUUUCUUUCCUUCUUUCUUUCUUUUCUUUUCUUUCUUUUUUUUUUUUCAUCUCUGUCACCCAGGUUAGAGUGGAGUGCAGUGGCACAGUCAUGGCUCACUGCAGCCUCAACCUCCUGGACUCAAGCAAUCUUCCCACCUUAGCCUCCUAAGUAGCUGGAACCACCACACCUGGCUAAUUUUUAAAAUUUUUGUAGACAGGGUUUUGCCAUGUAACUCACGUUGCUUUUGAACUCCUGAGCUCAAGCAGUCCUCCCCCGUUGGCCUCCCAAAGUGCUGGGAUUACUGGGGUUACAGGUGUGAGCCACCGCCCUCAGCCUCCAGUUCCUUUUUUUUUUCUUUUUUUGAGACAGAGUCUUGCUCCCUUGCCCAGGCUGGAGUGCAGUGGCGCAAUCUUGGCUCACUACAACCUCUGCCCCCCAGGUUCAAACAAUUCAACAUCAACCUCCCAGGCUCAAGUGAUCCUCCUGCCUCAGUUCUCCACCCCUUUGUAGCUGAUACUACAGAUACACACCAGCGUGCCCAGCUAAUUUUUAAAUAUUUUUACAGAGAUGCAGUCUCACUAUGUUGCCCAGGCUGGUCUUUUUUUUUUUUUUUUGAGAUGGAAUCUUACUGUAUCACCCAGGCUGGAGUGCAAUGGCGUAAUCUUGCCUCACUGCAACCUCUGCUGCCCAGGUUCAACUGAUUCUCCUGCCUCAGCCUCCCGGUGUAGCUGGGAUUACAGGUGCCUGCCACUGCGCCCAGCUAAUUUUUGUAUCUUUAGUAGAGAUGAGGUUUCACUAUCUUGGCCAGGCUGGUCUUGAACUCCUGACCUCGUGAUCCAUCUUCAGCUUCCCAAAGUGGUGGGAUUACAGGUGUGAGCCACCGCGCCUAGCCACCCUGGCUGGUCUUGAACUCCUGGCUUCAAGUGAUCCUCCCGCAUCAAUCUCCCAAAGUGUUGGGAUCACAGGCGUGAGCCACUGCACCCCCCUUAAUUUUUAAUAAAUAUAAAUUCUGUGAUGAACAUGUUACGUAAAUAUUUUUAUGCAAUGGUUUGAUCAUUUUCUUAGGUUUAGGUUAAAUCUCAAGAAGUGGAAUUGCUAACUCUAAGGAUUUGCACAUCCUUUGUUUGGAUACACAAUGCCAGACUACCCUCCAGGAAGGCUGCCCAAUUCACACCACUUUUGCCAGCCUGCUAGUGCUCUUUUCUCAACCUCAUCAAUGGCAAGCAUGAUCAAUUUUUCCAGAUGAUUCCAACUUGAAGAGCAUUCCUUUUUUAUUUUUUUUUUGAGACGGAGUCUCGCUCUGUCACCCAGGCUGGAAUGUAGUGGCUUGAUCUUGGCUCACUGCAACCUCCGCCUCCCAGGUUCAAGCGAUUGUCUUGCCUCAGCCUCCAGAGUAGGUGGGACUACAAGUGCACACCCCCACACCUGGCUCAUUUUUUGUAUUUUUAGUAGAGAUGGGGUUUCGCCAUGUUGGCCAGGCUGGUCUCAAUCUCUUGACCUCGUGAUCCGCCCACCUUGGUCUCCCAAAGUGCUGGGAUUACAGGCGUGAGCCACCACACCCGGCCUAAAGAGCAUUCUUGAUCCUAGCUUUAUCAUCAGUACUGCCUUGGCAACUGUUUCAUCCAUCUGAUUGAUCACUGCCAAGUCAGAAAGCAAAGGGGAUACAACCUCUGGGACCACCUAGGUAGAAGACUGAGCUGGAAUUCAGUCUGAUUUCCAUCCAGUCCUAGUCCAAAUGCAAGCCAUAUUUUUACCCAGAUGUGACCCUGGCCCAGAUCUAAUUUUGCAUUCUGCCCCUUUCAAUUCUCUUGUCAUAAGCAGUUUUCCACAUUGCUACAUGGUCAUCAUCUUAUUCUAAUUGUUGCACAACGUUCCAAUGAGUGAAUAAUUUAAUCAUCAUUACCC
rnacentral:lncRNA from 1 species